rnacentral:rRNA from 1 species
CAAGUCUUGACAUACCGUGCAAAACCCUGGAGACAGGGGAAUAGUUAUGGCGGAUACAGGUGGUGCAUGGUUGUCGUCAGCUCGUGUCGUGAGAUGUUGGGUUAAGUCCCGCAACGAGCGCAACCCUUGCCUUUAGUUACCAGCAUUCAGUUGGGGACUCUAGAGGGACUGCCGGUGACAAACCGGAGGAAGGUGGGGAUGACGUCAAAUCAUCAUGCCCCUUAUGACUUGGGCUACACACGUACUACAAUGGCGUAUACAGAGAGACGCGAAAUGGCGACAUGGAGCAAACCUCACAAAGUACGUCUCAGUUCAGAUUGAAGUCUGCAACUCGACUUCAUGAAGGCGGAAUCGCUAGUAAUCGCGGAUCAGCAUGCCGCGGUGAAUACGUUCU